rnacentral:rRNA from 1 species
UACGUAGGGUCCGAGCGUUGUCCGGAAUUAUUGGGCGUAAAGAGCUCGUAGGCGGCUUGUCGCGUCGUCCGUGAAAACUUGGGGCUCAACCCCAAGCUUGCGGUCGAUACGGGCAGGCUCGAGUUCGGUAGGGGAGACUGGAAUUCCUGGUGUAGCGGUGAAAUGCGCAGAUAUCAGGAGGAACACCGGUGGCGAAGGCGGGUCUCUGGGCCGAUACUGACGCUGAGGAGCGAAAGCGUGGGGAGCGAACAGG